UGAAAGUGAACGAACAAAGGGUGA
rnacentral:piRNA from 1 species